rnacentral:rRNA from 1 species
GUGGGGAAUUUUGGACAAUGGGCGCAAGCCUGAUCCAGCAAUGCCGCGUGCAGGAAGAAGGCCUUCGGGUUGUAAACUGCUUUUGUACGGAACGAAACGGCUCUGGUUAAUACCCGGGGCUAAUGACGGUACCGUAAGAAUAAGCACCGGCUAACUACGUGCCAGCAGCCGCGGUAAUACGUAGGGUGCAAGCGUUAAUCGGAAUUACUGGGCGUAAAGCGUGCGCAGGCGGUUGUGUAAGACAGGCGUGAAAUCCCCGGGCUCAACCUGGGAAUUGCGCUUGUGACUGCACGGCUGGAGUGCGGCAGAGGGGGAUGGAAUUCCGCGUGUAGCAGUGAAAUGCGUAGAUAUGCGGAGGAACACCGAUGGCGAAGGCAAUCCCCUGGGCCUGCACUGACGCUCAUGCACGAAAGCGUGGGGAGCAAACAGGAUUAGAAACCCUUGUAGUCC